rnacentral:misc_RNA from 1 species
ACUAUGAUGGUGCCAUAACAGCCUCUGAAUUAGGUUGCAGUAAAGGUGUUGGCAUGGGAAACUACUCAAAUGGAGCAGGUGGUGGCGCCGGACAUGGAGGAAGAGGAGGUUCAGGAUUUUUCAACGGGAGGCUGAGUGAAGGUGGUCAAAGAUAUGGCAGAGCUGAUUUUCCCUGCGAGUUGGGCAGUGGGAGUGAAGGUCCAGGCCAGUCCAAUGGACCUGUUAUUGGAGGUGGAAUAAUUGUGUUGGGAUCCAGCCAGUGGCCUCUUCUGAGACUUGAUGUCUACGGAUCUAUGAGGGCUGAUGGUCAAAGUUGUCGUACCCCAAGCAAAAACAGCAAUGGUACUCUUGCUGGCGGAGUUGGUGGUGGUUCUGGAGGAACAAUUCUACUUUUUCUUCAAUUUCUUGGUCUUUCGGACAACUCAGCUAUAUCAGUUGUUGGAGGAUGUGGUGGCCCACUGGGUGGAGGUGGCGGUGGGGGUGGCAGAGUUCAUUUUCAUUGGUCUAAGAUACACAUGGGUGAGCAGUAUGUCUCCCCUGCAACUAUUAAUGGCAGCAUUUACUAUAGUGGCGGUACAGGGGACGGUGGUGGUCUUCGUGGAGAGGAAGGCACAAUAACUGGAAGGAAGUGUCCCAAGGGCUUGUAUGGUACUUUCUGUGCGGAAUGCCCUAUUGGAACAUACAAAGAUGCUGAAGGAUCAGAGCCUUCCCUGUGUAUUCCCUGCUCCAUUGAGCUCCUUCCUAGACGUGCUUAUUUCAUUCAUAGGCGAGGAGGAGUAACUGAAUCACCUUGCCCCUACAAAUGUGUCACUGAUAAGUAUAGGAUGCCAAACUGCUAUACACCUUUGGAGGAGCUCAUAUACACAUUUGGAGGGCCCUGGCCAUUUUCCCUGUUGUCGUCGUGCAUUGUUGUGCUGCUGGCGCUUUUAUUAAGUACUUUGCGAAUCAAACUAUUAGGAUCAGGAAGUACUUAUAACACUUCAAAUUCAAUGGACCAUCACAGUCAUCACCAUUCACCUCAUCUCCUUUCAUUGUCUGAGGUUCGAGGUACUAGAGCAGACGAAACCCAGAGCCAUGUCCACAGGAUGUAUUUUAUGGGCCCCAAUACCUUUCGCGAACCCUGGCAUCUUCCUUACUCACCUCCUGAUGCCAUUAUUGAGAUUGUGUAUGAAGAUGCUUUUAACAGAUUUAUAGAUAAUAUUAAUUCAGUUGCAGCAUAUGAUUGGUGGGAGGGUUCAGUACAUAGCAUACUCUCUGUCCUUGCAUAUCCUUGCGCUUGGUCUUGGAAACAGUGGAGGAGGAGAAGAAAAGUUCAUCGCCUUCAGGAAUAUGUGAAGUCCGAGUAUGAUCAUUCUUGCUUACGGUCCUGCCGUUCACGUGCUUUAUACAAAGGA